UAAUACGGAGGGGGCUAGCGUUGUUCGGAAUUACUGGGCGUAAAGCGCACGUAGGCGGACAGUUAAGUCGGGGGUGAAAUCCCGGGGCUCAACCCCGGAAUGGCCUUCGAUACUGGCUGUCUGGAGGUCGAGAGAGGCGAGUGGAAUUCCGAGUGUAGAGGUGAAAUUCGUAGAUAUUCGGAGGAACACCAGUGGCGAAGGCGGCUCGCUGGCUCGAUACUGACGCUGAGGUGCGAAAGCGUGGGGAGCAAACAGG
rnacentral:rRNA from 1 species